UACGAAGGGUGCAAGCGUUAAUCGGAAUUACUGGGCGUAAAGGGUGCGUAGGCGGUUAGUUAAGUCUGUCGUGAAAUCCCCCGGGCUCAACCUGGGAAUGGCGAUGGAUACUGGCUAGCUAGAGUGUGUCAGAGGAUGGUGGAAUUCCCGGUGUAGCGGUGAAAUGCGUAGAGAUCGGGAGGAACAUCAGUGGCGAAGGCGGCCAUCUGGGACAACACUGACGCUGAAGCACGAAAGCGUGGGGAGCAAACAGG
rnacentral:rRNA from 1 species